ACUGACUCUUUUCGGACUCAGCCCACCUGCACGCAGGUGAUUAAAAGCUUUAUUGCUCACACAAAGCCUGUUUGGUGGUCUCUUCACACGGACGCGCAUAAAAUUUGGUGCCGUGACUCGGAUCGGGGGACCUCCCUUGGGAGAUCAAUCCCCUGUCCUCCUGCUCUUUGCUCCGUGAGAAAGAUCCACCUACGACCUCAGGUCCUCGGACCGAUCAGCUCAAGAAACAUCUCACCAAUUUCAAAUCCGGCAGGAAUGUCAGGCCUCUGAGUCCAAGCCAAGCCGUCGCAUCCCCUGUGACCUGCACGUAUACGCCCAGAUGGCCUGAAGUAACUAAAGAAUCACAAAAGAAGUGAAUAUGCCCUGCCCCACCUUAACUGAUGACAUUCCACCACAAAAGAAGUGUAAAUGGCCGGUCCUUGCCUUAACUGAUGACAUUACCUUGUGAAAGUCCUUUUCCUGGCUCAUCCUGGCUCAAAAAGCUCCCCCACUGAGCACCUUGCGACCCCCACUCCUGCCCACCAGAGAACAAACCCCCUUUGACUGUAAUUUUCCUUUACCUACCCAAAUCCUAUAAAACGGCCCCACCCUUAUCUCCCUUUGCUGACUCUUUUCGGACUCAGCCCGCCUGCACCAGGUGAUUAAAAGCUUUAUUGCUCACACAAA
rnacentral:lncRNA from 1 species